UACGGGGGGUCCAAGUGUUAUUCGUUUUGAUUGGGUGUAAAGGGUACGUAGGUGGUGGGUUGGUAGCGAUUGUCUGAAAGCGUACAGUAUUUCUGUACAAGAUGACUUGUCUAUUAGUCUCUAGUGUUGAUGUUGGGUUGGGGCAAUUUGGUGUGUAGGGGUGGAAUGCUACUAUAUACGAAGGAACGCCGAGGGCGGAGGCACCUUUCUAUCGUCAACAGACACUAAGGUACGGAAGCUUAGGGAGCAAACAGG
rnacentral:rRNA from 1 species